AGGAAACAACCUACCAAGGAUCAGCCCCAGAUUUGGAUCUCAACCGUCCAAUGAAUCCAACGCACCAAACAUGAACCGAAAUUGCUGCGCUGAAUUUUCCCAUUGGCGCCUAAAAAUUUUGGGCACGCGCGCCACGACCAGUCCAAACCACUUCAACAAAACUGACCCAGACCGCGCCGCCCCAAGACUACCCGCCCCUCCUCAUCUACCAUACCACCGUCCCCUCCCCCCCAGACCCACGCCGCCCCUGCAUCCCCGCGCCUCCGCGAAACCCUAGAGGAGCGGCUGCUUGUCCGGCGUCGAAGACCACCGCCCUCUGCUGGCCCUCGCCGGCGGACGCCGUCCGGGCCCAUGAUAGGCCCUCCUCCGUCUUGAGCUUUACCAGCCACGGCCGCCCAUGGCGACGGCAGGGCGAGAAAGCAACAUCAGCGGCACAGGAUGAAGACGGCGCUGGAUCUUCUUAACGGCGUCCGUGUCGAGCUCGCCGGCCACGCAAAUGAAGAGGAGCUCAAGGCCGGCCUCCCCCUGCCCGUGUGUUGUCGUCGGCACAGCCAAGGACAGGCGGCGCAUGAGCUGCUGCAGCUGGGCGUCUGCACACGACGAGGACGCGCAAGGUGACGUCCUGGACAUGGCAGACCAGGAGGAGGAGAUCGCCCAGGUCGAUCCAGACCACCACGACGUGCACAAACCUGAAGAGGGUGCAAGAGGAGAAUCACCACGAUGCCCACGACGCCGGCAUCCACCCGACCUGCUGCUUCCGGCUCUGGCAGCGAGGGCAACUUCAGCCUCGGAGCCAGGGCGACAAGAUCUGCAUAGUCCGCACCGACCAACACAAUGACGCGCAAGUAGUACACACUCAUCCCCAAGGUCGAUUAUUAGCUCCUUUUCUGUGUUCUUUGCUUGAAUUGAUUUGCUGUGUUCUGAAAGCAUACUUGUGUUGUUACAUUAUUAUCUGUAGAAUUUCAUGCUUCAGAAUGUGAACCUGCUCAUAUUACCUAUUCAUUCAGAAAAAUUGGAGCAGCUUGUUAGUAAUUAGAAAAUUAACAGCUUGUUACCUUCUGAAUGUGUUGUUUAGUUAUACAGUCUGAUGCUUAAGAUUACAGCACUACAAGUUAGUAAAAUGUGUUGGUUCUUGUUUAUGGGCUAGUCAAGAACAUAAAAUUCGUUCUCAGUUGCCCUCUCCUACAGCAGCGUCGUGCUAAAUCGGAAGGUCUCACUUUCUCUCUCGGUGACUCCCUGUUUUCUGUGGACUGCACCGUGUAUGUCUGCAUAGGAAUUUGUUUUGUUUUUUCCUUACUAGUAGUUUGCCGUGACAUUAAGAUGUUGUGUUCUGGUUUCAUCAUACGUAAUUUUCUAUCCAAUGAAAAGAUAAUUGGAUGAUAUAUUGAUUGGCUAUGAGGACAUACCAGAUUUAUUAAUGAGUUCUGGAUCUGGAACCUCCUCCAUGGCGAUUAUUUAUGCUAUUAUUCGAGCUUGUGUUUCUACUCUUCCAGGAACUUAGAAUUCAUGAUGGCUUCGAUUUAUUUGCUUCCUGGCAUUACUUUUGCUGAUGCUAGUGACAUCCCUGCAUUUUUCUUUGGCAUCAGUUUUGCUGAUGCCUUUCUAAAUUAGCGACGUCUAUUUAUUUCCUCGGCAAAGUAACUCAUGCAAUUACCUGAGUGCAAGCCAGAGGUGGGCGACAUGGGGGUAUCGGCGGUGAUUUUUCCUUCGCAGACUCUAGAGUUAGACUCAUUUAAAUCCUAUGUUUUUCUAUUUCGACAUGUUGAUGAGCAUACUGCAAAUCAAAGAGGUUGUCGACAUGGAAGAAUCAACUCUUACUACCAUGGCCCCUUGCUGGUGGGAUGCUAAAUGAAGAUCUUGUAUGCAUGUUAAUUCCAUGUCGUUCUUGAUUGUCCUGGUACAAAUUAUCUCUGACCAACUCAGGCUAGCUCUUGAUUGAUUUUAAUUGCUGGUUAUGUUAAUUCCAUGUCAUUCCUGUUUGUCCUGGUACAAAUUAUCUGACAUAAUUAGAGUUAUCGUUUAUCUUGCUUGUUUUGAACUUGCU